UGGGGAAUUUUGGACAAUGGGGGAAACCCUGAUCCAGCCAUCCCGCGUGUGCGAUGAAGGCCUUCGGGUUGUAAGCACUUUUGGCAGGAAAGAAACGUCAUGGGUUAAUACCCCGUGAAACUGACGGUACCUGCAGAAUAAGCACCGGCUAACUACGUGCCAGCAGCCGCGGUAAUACGUAGGGUGCAAGCGUUAAUCGGAAUUACUGGGCGUAAAGCGUGCGCAGGCGGUUCGGAAAGAAAGAUGUGAAAUCCCAGAGCUCAACUUUGGAACUGCAUUUUUAACUACCGGGCUAGAGUGUGUCAGAGGGAGGUGGAAUUCCGCGUGUAGCAGUGAAAUGCGUAGAUAUGCGGAGGAACACCGAUGGCGAAGGCAGCCUCCUGGGAUAACACUGACGCUCAUGCACGAAAGCGUGGGGAGCAAACAGG
rnacentral:rRNA from 1 species